rnacentral:lncRNA from 1 species
UUUUUUGUUUUGUUUUUUUUUUUUAACUUUUUGAAGACAUAGGGUCCCACCAUACUGGGCCCAAGCUGGUCUUAAACUCCUGGACUCAAGUGAUCCCCCCACCUCAGCAAUCCAAAGUGCUGGGAUUACAAGUAUGAAUCAGCACACCUGGCUUAUUUUCCAGAUUUUUUUAAAUUAUUUAAGAUUACACCUGUGAUAGUCAAAAUGAACUACAAUGUGAGGUUAACCAAUUCAUUUUUUAUUUGGUCUUGAAAACAGGUCCUAAGACAUAUGCUAUUACUAUUACUAUAAGGCCCCUAAGUAUGGUUUUUGGAGAGUCUGCCCAAGUGGGCUCAUGAAGUGGAAAGGCUCAGGAAGAAGGGUUUAAACACAGUAUAAGGAUUAUAACAUUUGUAGUAGUAUGAACUUUUGGAAGCAAUGUACAUAAUAGUGUUUAUCUGGAGCAUGCUCAGACAUGGUUUUAUACAACGCCAACAAGUCAAGACUGUCUGUAGUCUGGACAGUAAUAUCCCCUGGCUACAACAGAUGAUUCCAGUGUAAGGGCAAGACUCAGCCGGCACCAGAUAAUAUAAGCAAAUAUAAUGAAAAGUGUUAAAACUCUAUUAAUAAGAUCAGCUAGACAAAAAAAUUAUCGCAUUCAUAGUGUAUAUUUGACCUCUACCACCAUACAGAGUCUGUUAAAGGUUUCAGAGUAUAGUUUUAUUCUAAUUAUAAUUUGCAGUUUAAUCUCUCAAGUACAAUAGUCUGAGAAGAUAAUAAUUACUUAUUAGCCACACAGGUCACAGAUUUUGGCUUUUUAAGAAGAAACAAGAGCCCUCAUGCAGACCCUGGUACAGUCUCAACUGGUGGAGAUACUAUGGAAAGGAACUUUUAAAUUAUUAAAUAGCCUCUAAAUACAUACAUAUAUAUAUAUACAGACACACAUAUAUACACAUACAUACAUAUACACACACACAUAUUUAUAUUAUUUCAUUUAUUAGUAACUUAAUUUUCAAAAGUCAAUUAAGAAUGUCAGAAAAUGUAACCUAACACUUGGAACUAACUAAACAGGUAUUUUAAGAUAGCUGACUGUUAGAAACUUCAGUGCUAGAAUGGUAGAUUUCUGUUUUUUAAAUAUUUUAUGGUUUUCUAUAAGAACUUACAAAACAUACUGACCUGUUUUGACGAAAACAUUUCUGGUUUGGUUUUACAUUUAAGUCAUAUUUAGAUAUUUAACACCUUUAUAAGGAUUUUUAUAACUUUUUUUCAUUUUUGUAGAUACAGGGAUUCACCAUGUUGUCCAGGCUGGUCUCAAACACCUGGGCUCAUGCAAUCAACCUGCCUCAGCCUCCCAAAGUGCUGGGAAUGCAGGCAUGAGCCACGAUGCCCAGCCUCAAUAAGGAAUUUUUAGAUCAUUUGAAUCCAUCCCCAGAGGUUACUAACACACAAACCAAAUAGAAUUCCGUAUAUUUUAGUACACAGCACAUCUUCAAAUAACAUCGUUUCAUUGACCGUCAUUUAGUUACACAGUUGAUAAGAAAAAUCCAUUCCCAAACCAGGCCACUGUCUGGUGGGUUUUCUCCAGGUACUC